rnacentral:misc_RNA from 1 species
CAUGUUUUGCAACAAGUAGUUCAGGUUAGUAUUCUGGGUUAAUGCAUCUGUGAUCUGGGAUUUAUAGGCUCUAAUAAUGUGGCUUUUACUGAUAUUAUUUUUUGUUACUGUAUAUUUAUCAUCUACAAAUACAUGUGAACUGAGUUCAUAUAAGCAUAUAUUUUAUCUUUGGCCAAUGAACCUUAAUCAUCGCUUUCUUGUAGACACUGGAUGGGGUUGAAUCUG